rnacentral:lncRNA from 1 species
CCUUGUUCUAAGCCUAUAGUCAACAUCAUCACAGAUGAUACUGUUUUAACUGGCGAUGACUUGAAAGAAAAAUGUUGUCAAAAAGUUCCCGCUCUCUACAUUCCAAAUUAAACACCUUGGCUCCCCCAAAUUCUUCAUUGGAAUAGAAGUUGCUCAAUCUGAAAAGGGUAUGUCUCUCAACCAAAGAAAGUUGCAUGAGGGAGAGAACACUUGUUUUUGGAGGGGAGACACGACUCUUCGUGAACAAUUUCCUCGGCUUUAUGCAAUGUCAAACCAAAAAGAGGCAAAGGUGGCGGAUGUUUGGGUGACUAUGGAGGUCGGAAGG